rnacentral:rRNA from 1 species
CCUACGGGUGGCAGCAGUGAGGAAUAUUGGUCAAUGGGCGCGAGCCUGAACCAGCCAAGUAGCGUGAAGGAUGACUGCCCUACGGGUUUUAAACUUCUUUUAUAAAGGAAUAAAGUGAGGCACGUGUGCCUUUUUGUAUGUACUUUAUGACUAAGGAUCGGCUAACUCCGUGCCAGAAGCCGCGGUAAUACGGAGGAUCCGAGCGUUAUCCGGAUUUAUUGGGUUUAAAGGGAGCGUAGAUGGGUUGUUAAGUCAGUUGUGAAAGUUUGGGGCUCAACCGUAAAAUUGCAAUUGAUACUGGCAGCCUUGAGUACAGGUGAGGUAGGCGGAAUUCGUGGUGUAGCGGUGAAAUGCGUAGAUAUCACGAAGAACACCGAUUGCGAAGGCAGCCUACUAAACUGCCACUGACAUUGAUGCUCGAAAGUGUGGGUAUCAAACAGGAUUAGAUACCCCUGUAGUC